CCUUCAUAUGAAUAGUUUGAUUAGGUGCUUACUUCUGCCCCAGGCAGCUAACCCUGCAUGACAGGCUUCCCCACAGGGACAAUCUGAUUUUCAGAUUAAAGCAAAGGAGACAGGGAUGGUGCUGGUGAAUUCCUUAACAGCAAAGGUUUAAGUGUUCAGGAAUGUACCCCAAAACUGGGUGCUGGAACAGGCCUUGAAGUAGUCCAUAUGACUGCAUGGGCUAGAGGACAUCCCAGGCCAUAUUCUAAGGUUCUGUUUGGGAAUGGGCCCACAAAACAGCUUGGAAAGGAAGCAGCACUGGAGCAGGAGCCAAAGCUGCAGUGACUGCCAGGACCUGGAAACAUUUUGUGACCACCCUUUUCUGGCCUCCAUAAUUCAUGAGGAGAAGACUCAUGAAAACCUCCACCUUUUUCUGACCUGCAUAAUACAGGGGAAGACUCAUGAAAACCCACCACAACUUUCAGGUGCUGCAUACCAUCAACAGACAACAUUAACACUUAGGUUUUACAUUCUGUAAUUGGACCUUGACUUUGAACCUGUAAAAGAUGAAGAAACUGCAUUUCAUGACUGAAGAGGACAAUGUGCCUGGGAUUAAAAAAACAUCAUCUGUUAGAAUGGAAAAGAUACCAAGCAAUUGAAGGCUGAUAAAAAGACUGAAGUGACCAAUAAGAAGCUACAUAUAUCCAAGAAUUUUGAAUAAACUGUCAUACAGUAUAAUCAGCACUAAAUAAUUAAAAUUAAUCCAUUGCUUUUUCUGUAGACACUCAAGCUCUCCAAAGGGCUUGACCCAUAACUCACUGAAGUAAAUGGCUGUCUUUCCAUUGUCAUCACUGGGACUCAGAUCAGGCUCUUCCUAUGGAAACACUGUGAUAGAGACCCCUAAAUCCUAGUUCCUGAAUAUGGGCUAACUGCAAUCAGAAGAAUGAACUAAAUGAUCAACAAACAAAAUACUGCAGGCACCAAAUGGGAUGGAAAAGGAAGUACAGAUUAACAGUUCAGCAACUGGUCUACUGCCUUAGUUAAACUAGAUUCCUAGUCAUCCUUAGGAUUUAAAAAGUAUUUACUAUAAAGAGGUUAAGUGUUUUCUAGGACAGACCUUUCCUGCAGAAUGAACCAUAAGGUUUCCUCACCUAAAAUAGAAUUUAAAAUGUAGUCCUUUGUAGAAUUUUUGUACCCAGCACAGUUUGAGCCAAACAUUUUGGUAAUAUUUUUUGUAUGACAAAUAUAGAGUAUGGACUGUUUUCUGUUGUGUUGCUGUCUGUAUCCCAAACUACCACUUCUUAUUAUUAUCUGUUGGUUUAUUUUUUUUAAUGUUAUAUAUGAACAGGUGUGUAUCAUAAAGGUCAUUUUCUUCCCCACUGUGUAAGCAACAGAAGGAUCAGGCCCUUAUGGAGAAAACUAAGCGCCCACUGGCUACAUUCUAAAAUAAUAUUCAUUUGAUGUGAUUGCCUUGUAUGCAGCUCAGCAGAGAUGCCACAUUUAAAUAGGCUUCAGAAAUGGCUCACAAUUGCUUAUAUCAGCCAGUGGUAGUUACUAUAGGGCCGGCUGAGCAACACACCAGGGGUACGUCCAGACGAGCCCGCACAUGCCUCUUGCCACAUCUCAAAGAAGUUUGAGAUGUGGCAAGAGGCAUGCUGGGAACAAAAAAACAUUCCCCGCACUGCAUAGUUGCAACGCAGACUCAAAAGUUCAUACCUGGAUAUCCAGUAGGCCUGUGCAAAGUGGCAAGUAUUCGUUUUGGAUUCAGAUUCAGCUGAUUCGGAGGACGGUGAUUCGAUUCAGAGAUUUGAACCACUGUCCCAAUUCGAUUCGACCGAAUCAGAUCUGAAAUAUUUGAUGCCACUUUGGAGACUCAGCCAUAGACUAAACAGGCAGCUGACAUAGGUACCUCCAGCUGGUAAGUCU